UUUCAUACAUAGUUUUAAUUAAAACAAUUACAUGACAACCAAAUAAAAAGGCUAAACAGCAUCAGACAGACAAAAAAAGGUAUUUGCAAUUUUUUUUUUUGCAUAUUGUUACCAAAUGAAUUUGUCAUUUGCAUCUUAUUAAUAAGUACGAUAUGCAGCCAACCACAAGAAGAGGUGCAGGGUUUGGAGAUUUUCGGAGGAAUUCUUACCUAGGCAAGCAGGCAUUCUUGUGGCAAAAUUGCAUGUUGUUCUCUGUCUGUAAACCUCUAGCUGUAAGAUAUUGAGAAGAAAUGUAUACAUGCAAGAGCAGUGGUUCUAAACAAAUAGAAUGCAUUUUUGUUUAGGCCUGGAAUAAAUGGUUGGGUUCACCAGAGUUACUUCCCAAAUGGCACUAUUCCAUCCAUCUAUAUAGUGCACUACUUUUGAUCAGAGCCAAUAUUAGUGCACUAUAAAAGAGAAUAGGGUGCUAUUUGGGACAUAACCAAAGGUGUUUGAAAGAAUUUAGCAUCAACAUGUGGCACAUGGUAUGCAAAGUGGCUCUCACAGGAUAGUAAUUCAAAAGAAGAGGUACUCUGGUCAAAAGUAGUGCACUAUAUAAGGAAUAUGGUGCCAUUUGGGAAGCACCCCCUGGUGUAACCCCAACAGCUAGUUGCUCAGAGCCUAAAGAUCACUUUGUUUAUUGCUGUUCACUUUGGGUAGAACACCAUCACUGAACAUCUAUCUACUAAAGGUUUAAACAAAGGGAACCAGGGUUGGAAAUCCCAUGCAUUACAGAAAACUAUUUUCCACCUGAGGAGGGUGGCAGUCUAAAAUAUCCACUAGUGUCAUGCCCAGUUAUUAAAUGCAACUUUUUUGGUUGUGUCAUGCGAGUGCCUGCCUACCUUACCAUCCCCAUAAGCAUUUUUGGUCCUGACACCUCAAAACUGGUUGGUUCUGCAUAUUAUUGUGUUCUUAUACUGUAUGUCAGUGUCACAAACAGACACCCAGGCACCCACACAAAAUUGGCAUGUAUCAAUAUAUACGUAUCAAUGUAGACAUAGGCAUAUUGCCCACAACGUUUUGAAAGUAAGAUCUCUUUGAUUUACUUGUUUUCAGCACCAUCAGGAAAAGGCACAGUCUACAGACUAUUCUGUCCAAGGAUAAAACCUUCACUCCUUCCACAAGAAAAACUUUGAGGGAUGCACACAGUCAAAUGUUGGAGGAAAUCAAUCAAAAUGUAGGUCACAGUCACUACAGGUUCUAGAAGACUAGGCUCUGUGAGAUGAAUGGAACCUACUGAAUGGAAGCUAGGCUACUCUCCAGAUAUUGUUAGUUCAUUGAACAGAGAGGAGGGUGAUGGGAAAUAGCAGGAGGUUCAUCCAAUCAGUCACAAGACAACAGCUGCCACAAAAAAAAACAAGCCCCCCCCCACACAGUAGGUUAUUUAAAUGCUGCAGAUGUAGCUUCGAUAUGACACGCUUUGCUUUAAAAGCUGCAAUAUGUAACUUCAUUGGCGACUCGACCAAAUGCACAUAGAAAUGUGAGUUAUAGAUCUGUCACUCAUUGAAAGCAAGUCUAAAAAGCGGUUGAUCUAUUCUAUGUGCACUUUUUCUAGGCUUCCCGUUCUUAAAUUUCGGGUUUACUUUCGGUUUUGUACACCAGCUUAAAAAAGCCAAAAAGCCAAUUUUUUUGGUUAUUAAAAAGAUAUUUCACAGCAGUUUAGAUGGUACAAUGAUUCUCUUGCUUGUUUUGUCACAAACUGAAAUUAGGGGAACUACUAGAAUUUUAACAACCAGGAAAUAAACGACAGUCUAUUGAAUUAUUACAUUUGGAUUAUUAUCAGUGACUAUAUCACUAUGGUCUUUAUUUCAUUAUUAUCGUCACAUUUGUUCUACUUUUCUAGAAUUUAUUAGCAAAAAUAAGUGGCUCAUUAUAUUAUUCCAUAUUUUAAAUAUACAAAUAUAUCUCCAUUUCGGAAUAAAAAAUGCAUUAGAAUAACAAAAGAAGGCAUCUGAUGUCCAACUUUUAGUGUGGGGGGGCAACACAUGAAGGAGCCUGGUUCAACCUCAAAUGCAACCAUACUUCCCUAUAGUGCACUACUUUUGCCAAGAGGUCUAUGGGUCCUGGUCAAAAGUAGCGCAUUAUAUAGCCAUGUAUUACCCCCCUACCUCAGAAUGAUGCUACGUUCGUAACCAAGUGGGAAUUUACCACAUACGACUGGGGAAAAUCCACUGGAAUGGCCCUCCAACUAGUAAUUACUAGUGUGAAAUUCGUCUAUCAAGCCGAUCUCACACAUGCUGACCUCUGACAUCACUUACUAAGGAAAUUACCUGUGCAACAAAACAUAAAACAAAACAAGUAUCUAUUAAUAUGGUUUUUUAACACUAAUUUGAUUGCAACCAUGAUCCAUUAUAUAUACAUAAAAGGUAUGUGGCCACCCCUUCAAAUGAGUGGAUUUGGAUAUUUCAGCCACACCCGUUGCUGACAGGUGUAUAAAAUCAAGCACACCGCCAUGCAAUCUCCAUAGACAAACAUUGGCAGUAGAAUGGCCUUACUGAAAAGCUCAGUGACUUUCAAUGUGGCACUGACAUAGGAUGCCACCUUUCCAACAAGUCAGUUCAUAACAUUUCUGCCCUGCUAGAGCUGCUCUGGUGAACUAUAAGUGCUAUUAUUGUGAAGUGGAAACGCCUAGGAGCAACAACGGCUCAGCCACGAAGUGGUAGGCCACAAAAGAGCACAGAAAGGGACAACCGAGUGCUGAAGUGCGUAGCGUGUAAAAAUAGUCUGUCCUUGAUUGCAACACUCAUUACCGAGUUCCAAACGGCCUCUGGAAGCACAAGAACUGUUCGUCAGGAGCUUCAUGAAAUGGGUUUCCAUGGCCGAGCAGCCGCACACAACCCUAAGAUCACCAUGCUUAAUGCCAAGCGUCAGCUGGAGUGGUGUAAAGCUCGCCGCCAUUGGACUCUGGAGCAGUGGAAACACGUUCUCUGGAGUGAUGAAUCGCUCUUCACCAUCUAGCAGUCCAACGGACGAAUCUGACCUCAACCCAAUCAAACACCUUUGGGAUGAAUUGGAAGGCCGACUGCGAGCCAGGCCUAAUCGCACAACAUCAGUGCCCGACUUCACUAAUGCAUACUUCACUAAUGCUAGUGGCUGAAUGGAAGCAAGUCCCCUCAGCAAUGUUCCAACAUUAGGUGGAAAGCCUUCCCAGAAGAGUGGAGGCUCUUAUGGCAGCAAAGGGAGGGCGUACUCCAUAUUAAUGCCCAUAAUUUUGGAAAGAGAUGUUUGACGAUCUGGUGUCCACAUAAUUUUGGUCAUGUAGUGUAGCUGUACUUUUAGUUUAUGGUUUACGCAGCUUGUUGGACAUUAGACAAAAUCGGCAUUUCUCAAUGAGUUAAAAGUGUGUGAAUGCCUCCAAAUGGUAUUUAUAACUUCACAACUGGUAAAUUCCCACCUUCCACUUGGUUACGAACACAGCACAAGCUCCCAAUGCUCUGCCUCCUAGAUGCAAAACCCGACCCACUGGCUCUAGAGGUCGAUUCCGUGGCAACGUGAGUGUAGAGCGAAUUCCUUCCUGUACUACUGCUGUACAGACUUAAAUUAUUCACACAAGCAGGGCAGUUACACAUUAGCCCACAGUUGCAGUGGAUCAGAUCCUACCUAUGCUGUUCAAGUAAAAUCAAAUGCUGGUAAUGUCUGACAUCUUGCAAGAAAGUAACAAUUUUAGCUGUGACAAUUCGCACAAACCCCAGGGGCGGAGCUGUAUUGUAUUGAUGUCCACAAACCGGUGUAAACCAUGUUAUUAAACAAUCGUACCCUCUGGGAAUUAAAGUAUGUCCCCUGUAUCAUAGUGAGAGAGUACUCUCUAUUGUUACUCCUGAUCCUUGAAAAACACCCAAUGAAUCUCAAUCUCUGACUACAAGAGACAGUCUGUCUACUAAACCCCCCCACAACAAACUGCAUCUCUCAGCACCAGGGCAUGUGUCUCACCUGAAACACAUGCAUCUUUAAGUGCAGUAAAUUGUCAUUCUUAUAGUCGCUUUGUACAAAUAUAUAUGAACAAAAUAAAAAUGUAGUAUAGCAGCUAGUUUUGUUCUGGUAACACGUGGCUAUAGGACAAUGAGUGUGGCAAAACAUCGGCCAUGCUACAACGCGGCUGCUUCUUUUGCAAAGGCAGUGAGAGCAGGGAUCAACUGUAUCCCAGUCAGACAAGGCCCAUACAAUCCAUUCCCCAAGCAGAUGACACCAGGCACGUUGGUUUGGUCCAAGUGGAACGAGAUGAAACUCAAAAGCCUCACCUGGAGGAUACUUCACAGCAAGGCAAAUGGAGAGACAAUGCCCCUCAAAUACAAUGUGACAAAAUGGCUUGAUAAAACUCUGAAAUAUGAAUGCUUACUUUUAACAGUGCAAAAUGAAUCCUACCACCAGUGUUAAAAUGAAUGAGACAGAUCCGUUAGCUAACUGUCCCCACCUUCAAUUGGUCAGUCUACAUACUCAAUAAUAAUUCACAUUAAAAACUAAAUCAUGAAACUGAAUCAAUGCAGCCACACCC
ensembl:lncRNA